UUUGAAAUUCAUAUUGCUUAGAUCCAAGCUAGGUGUGAGAGUGAGUGUUGAAUAUGUAUUUGUGUUAUUGGAGUUUGUUUGAAAUCUCAUAUUGCUUAGGUUCUUAGACUAUUGAAUGUUUAAAUAUGUGAGGACAACCUUGUCAUUUGAGCUAACUUUUAGGGGUUGAGAUCCAAACAUAUUUAGCAUAAACCACUCCUCAUUAUUUUAUUU
rnacentral:lncRNA from 1 species